UACGGAGGGGGCUAGCGUUGUUCGGAAUUACUGGGCGUAAAGCGCACGUAGGCGGCUUUGUAAGUUAGAGGUGAAAGCCUGGGGCUCAACCCCAGAAUUGCCUUUAAGACUGCAUCGCUUGAAUCCAGGAGAGGUGAGUGGAAUUCCGAGUGUAGAGGUGAAAUUCGUAGAUAUUCGGGAAGAACACCAGUGGCGAAGGCAGGUCUCUGGGC
rnacentral:rRNA from 1 species